GAUGAACGCUGGCGGCGUGCCUAAUACAUGCCAGUCGAGCGAACAGACGAGGAGCUUGCUCCUCUGACGUUAGCGGCGGACGGGUGAGUAACACGUGGAUAACCUACCUAUAAGACUGGGAUAACUUCGGGAAACCGGAGCUAAUACCGGAUAAUAUAUUGAACCGCAUGGUUCAAUAGUGAAAGACGGUUUUGCUGUCACUUAUAGAUGGAUCCGCGCCGCAUUAGCUAGUUGGUAAGGUAACGGCUUACCAAGGCAACGAUGCGUAGCCGACCUGAGAGGGUGACCGGCCACCAUGGAACUGAGACACGGUCCAGACUCCUACGGGAGGCAGCAGUAGGGAAUCUUCCGCAAUGGGCGAAAGCCUGACGGAGCAACGCCGCGUGAGUGAUGAAGGUCUUCGGAUCGUAAAACUCUGUUAUUAGGGAAGAACAAAUGUGUAAGUAACUAUGCACGUCUUGACGGUACCUAAUCAGAAAGCCACGGCUAACUACGUG
rnacentral:rRNA from 1 species